AUGACAAUGUCUCUGAGCAUCAAUGGUGUGGGAUUCCUGUGAGCUGGGUGAUGCUCCAAGAAGUGGUAAUAUUACCACAGUGAAUGCAGUGCGAAGUAUGACAGUGGUAGAGGAGGUUCUCUUGGGAGCUCCAAGGAUGGUGGCACUGGUGGUUAGAAGCUGAAGUUGAAGAUGUAUAAGGAAGUGGACUAGAGGUAAAGAGAGGCUGACGGAGUUUCAGAAGCGAGGAAUUUUCCAUGCUCAUGCCACAAGUGAGAACUGACAGAGGAAGGCUGCCAGUGCCUGCCCCUUUCUUCCCACACGCAGUGUGGCAUUUCCAAGUUACGUCUGAAUCCCUUCCAGCUGACAUCGAUGACCAAGCUUCAACGGACUUGAGGAAUGAACAGAGUUGUUUGAAGGAGUUUGGAUGGCAUGGUGGGAGAUGCCUGUAAAGUUAGCUGAUGAUGGGAUGCUCUCCUUGACAGCCUAUGCAAUCUUCAGGUCAGGCUGCUGACAGGUAUGAUUUUUGAUGUUCCAGCGGUAGACAACAGCACGUCCCCAAUAAAGCCAAGGACUGCUUUAAGCA
rnacentral:lncRNA from 1 species